rnacentral:rRNA from 1 species
UACAGAGGGUGCGAGCGUUGUUCGGAAUUAUUGGGCGUAAAGGGCGCGUAGGCGGUGCGGUAAGUCACCUGUGAAAUCUCCUGGCUCAACUGGGAGCUUGCAGGCGAAACUGCCGUGCUGGAGUGUGGGAGAGGUGCGUGGAAUUCCUGGUGUAGCGGUGAAAUGCGUAGAUAUCAGGAGGAACACCUGUGGCGAAAGCGGCGCACUGGACCACAACUGACGCUGAGGCACGAAAGCGUGGGGAUCAAACAGG